rnacentral:rRNA from 1 species
GACAUUGCGCAAUGGGGGAAACCCAGACGCACCAACGCCGCUUGAAGGAUGAAGGUUUUCGGUUCGUAAACUUCUUUGACCGGGGACGAAUAAAUGACGGUACCCGGGGAACAAUCCACGGCUAAGUACGUGCCAGCAGCCGCGGUAAUACGUAGGUGGCGAGCGUUGUCCGGAUUUACUGGGUGUAAAGGGCGCGUAGGCGGGGCGGCAAGUCUGAUGUGAAAUCACGCGGCUUAACUGCGGAACUGCAUCAGAAACUGCCGUCCUUGAGUAUCAGAGGGGAAAGCGGAAUUCCUAGUGUAGCGGUGAAAUGCGUAGAUAUUAAGAGGAACACCGGUGGAGAAGGCGGCUUUCUGGCUGAAAACUGACGCUGAGGCGCGAAAGCGUGGGGAGCAAACAGG